rnacentral:rRNA from 1 species
CUGGCUCAGGAUGAACGCUAGCGGGAGGCCUAACACAUGCAAGCUGAGCGGUAGAUUUUCUUCGGAAGAUUGAGAGCGGCGUACGGGUGCGUAACACGUGUGCAACCUGCCCUUAUCAAGAGGAUAGCCUUUCGAAAGGAAGAUUAAUACUCUAUAAUAUAUUGACUGGCAUCGGUUAAUAUUGAAAGAUUUAUCGGAUAAGGAUGGGCACGCGCAAGAUUAGGUAGUUGGUAGGGUAACGGCCUACCAAGCCGAUGAUCUUUAGGGGGCCUGAGAGGGUGAUCCCCCACACUGGUACUGAGACACGGACCAGACUCCUACGGGAGGCAGCAGUGAGGAAUAUUGGACAAUGGGUUAGCGCCUGAUCCAGCCAUCCCGCGUGAAGGACGACGGUUCUAUGGAUUGUAAACUUCUUUUAUAUAGGGAUAAACCUACUCUCGUGAGAGUAGCUGAAGGUACUAUAUGAAUAAGCACCGGCUAACUCCGUGCCAGCAGCCGCGGUAAU